rnacentral:rRNA from 1 species
GACGAACGCUGGCGGCGUGCUUAACACAUGCAAGUCGAACGGAAAGGCCCUGCUUUUGUGGGGUGCUCGAUUGGCGAACGGGUGAGUAACACGUGAGUAACCUGCCCUUGACUUUGGGAUAACUUCAGGAAACUGGGGCUAAUACCGGAUAGGAGCUCCUGCUGCAUGGUGGGGGUUGGAAAGUUUCGGCGGUUGGGGAUGGACUCGCGGCUUAUCAGCUUGUUGGUGGGGUAGUGGCUUACCAAGGCUUUGACGGGUAGCCGGCCUGAGAGGGUGACCGGCCACAUUGGGACUGAGGUACGGCCCAGACUCCUACGGGAGGCAGCAGUGGGGAAUAUUGCACAAUGGGCGGAAGCCUGAUGCAGCGACGCCGCGUGCGGGAUGACGGCCUUCGGGUUGUAAACCGCUUUCGCCUGUGACGAAGCGUGAGUGACGGUAAUGGGUAAAGAAGCACCGGCUAACUACGUG